UACGUAGGGGGCAAGCGUUGUCCGGAAUCAUUGGGCGUAAAGCGCGUGUAGGCGGCCCGGUAAGUCCGCUGUGAAAGUCGGGGGCUCAACCCUCGAAUGCCGGUGGAUACUGUCGGGCUAGAGUGCGGGAGAGGCGAGUGGAAUUCCUGGUGUAGCGGUGAAAUGCGCAGAUAUCGGGAAGAACACCCGUGGCGAAGGCGGUUCUCUGGGACGGUACUGACGCUGAGACGCGAAAGCGUGGGGAGCGAACAGG
rnacentral:rRNA from 1 species